AACGAACGCUGGCGGCAUGCCUAACACAUGCAAGUCGAACGCGUGUAGCAAUACACGAGUGGCGGACGGGUGAGUAACGCGUGGGAACCUGCCCAGUGGUAGGGAAUAACUGCGGGAAACUGCAGCUAAUACCCUAUACGCCCUUUGGGGGAAAGAUUCAUCGCCAUUGGAGGGGCCCGCGUCGGAUUAGCUAGUUGGCGGGGUAAUGGCCCACCAAGGCAACGAUCCGUAGCUGGUCNGAGAGGAUGAUCAGCCACACUGGGACUGAGAUACGGCCCAGACUCCUACGGGAGGCAGCAGUGGGGAAUAUUGGACAAUGGGGGAAACCCUGAUCCAGCAAUGCCGCGUGAGUGAAGAAGGCC
rnacentral:rRNA from 1 species